rnacentral:rRNA from 1 species
GAUUUAUCGUUGGGUGGGGGAUAACCGUUGGAAACGAUGGCUAAUACUGCAUGACGCCUGAGGGCCAAAGCCUGUGAGGGUACCUGACGAGGAGCCUGCGUCCGAUUAGUUAGUUGGUUGGGUAAUGGCUGACCAAGGCGAUGAUCGGUAGCUGGUCUGAGAGGAUGAUCAGCCACACUGGGACUGAGACACGGCCCAGACUCCUACGGGAGGCAGCAGUGGGGAAUAUUGGACAAUGGGCGCAAGCCUGAUCCAGCAAUGCCGCGUGGAU